rnacentral:rRNA from 1 species
GACGAACGCUGGCGGCGUGCUUAACACAUGCAAGUCGAACGGUAAGGCUCCAGCUUGCUGGGGUACACGAGUGGCGAACGGGUGAGUAACACGUGGGUGACCUGCCCUGCACUUCGGGAUAAGCCUGGGAAACUGGGUCUAAUACCGGAUAGGACCGCACCGUGAGGGUGUGGUGGAAAGUUUUUUCGGUGUGGGAUGGGCCCGCGGCCUAUCAGCUUGUUGGUGGGGUAAUGGCCUACCAAGGCGGCGACGGGUAGCCGGCCUGAGAGGGUGGACGGCCACAUUGGGACUGAGACACGGCCCAGACUCCUACGGGAGGCAGCAGUGGGGAAUAUUGCACAAUGGGCGGAAGCCUGAUGCAGCGACGCCGCGUGGGGGAUGACGGCCUUCGGGUUGUAAACUCCUUUCACCAUCGACGAAGGGUUUCUGACGGUAGAUGGAGAAGAAGCACCGGCUAACUACGUGCCAGCAGCCGCGGUAAUACGUAGGGUGCGAGCGUUGUCCGGAAUUACUGGGCGUAAAGAGCUCGUAGGUGGUUUGUCGCGUCGUCUGCGAAAUUCCGGGGCUUAACUCCGGGCGUGCAGGCGAUACGGGCAUAACUUGAGUACUGUAGGGGAGACUGGAAUUCCUGGUGUAGCGGUGAAAUGCGCAGAUAUCAGGAGGAACACCGGUGGCGAAGGCGGGUCUCUGGGCAGUAACUGACGCUGAGGAGCGAAAGCAUGGGGAGCGAACAGG